UCAGCCAAACAGAUACCCUUCUCAAAAUUGUCUAAGUGGUGCGUGUCAGGAAACAACAUCACAUGAAGGAAAGAUGGUUUUCUUCUCUUAAACAUUUCCUCAUAUACACGUUGACGAGUUGAACAGACCCACACAGUUCACUUCCAUAAACUGGGUGGCACAUUUUCUGUCUAUUUUGCGUGUGAUAGAGGAAAACUUAUCAGUUCUUUCAGGGUUUUCUUUGAUUUGCUGAUUCUGAGUCAUUUGUUUUGUCCUGUGUAUAGAUUUCCAUUCUCUGCAAGAACAAAAGGCCUGAUGAAAAUCUGUGCAGAGGUACACUGGGUACUGCACAAAUUUUCUGUCGUCCAAUAAACAGGAAGUGUUUCAUUUUUCAUAUUGAAUGCAUUACAAUGCAAGGCCACUGGGUUUCUGAGUCUGGUGUGGAAGAGCUUGGCUGGUCCUCACAAAGCCCAGACCUCAACCUCAACACUUUAGGAAUGAAAAGAACCAACGACUGUGAGCCAGGCCUCAUUACCCAACAUUACUGGUUAGCCUCACUGAUGCUCUUGGGUCUGAAUGAGAAAGUAAGUCUUUCAGAGUGGCAUGAGGGUAAGUAAAUGAUGACAACAUUUUCAGUUUUAGGUGAACUGUUCCUUUAAGAAUGCUGAUGCUGUUUGAGGGACAGCUGUUGGAGUCAUCACGACUUGCUUGCAAGAUGACUUGUAAGGAUUUUGGCUUUUAUUAGCUUUAACUAAAGCCUAAAGCAUAUACCUGCACUCCAAACCAAAUCAUCUUCCAUAAUCUGGUUAAAUUAGUGUAAUUGAUGGUGUAUCUCUUUUAAAUAUGUUCAAUAUGCCCUGUGAUUCACUUUUCAUGUAGGCAUUUACGGCUGAUUAGUUUGAGAAUACCACUUAUUUUAAUGAAAUCUCAACUAAAACAGCACACCUGGCUAUUUAUAGUGAACGUGUCGUAGUUUGUGCUGCUCAGGAUACAGCUUGCAAAAGUUUUAACACCUCCACAGAUUUCAAUUUUCCCCUGUAGCCAUGCUGAGACAUGAGGACUAUUUACCUUCUGUAGGGCAGAAAAUGUGGUGUUGCUUUUUCACUGUCUUCUUGAUUUGUUUUUAGUGCACUUUUCACUGUAUUAGUUGUAGUGUCUUGGCAUGUUAGCUUAUUGAUGGACAGCAGUUACUUACCUGCACAAAAAUGUGAGAUUUUUCCAACAAAAGGUAAUCGGGAUUUUCACCUUCUUUAAAGCAAUCGUCAAUCUGACCCUAACGAUUGGUGCAGCCGUACAUCUGGUGCAGAUGUAGCAGGCUCUCUUUCUCUCUCCCUCUCUCUCUCUCUCUGAUUCAGGAGAGCUGGAUGUCUGCCAAGCAGUGAAUGUGCUUCCUGGUGACUGUGGCCAGCAGAGAGAGUAAACACACACAGACAUCACAGAAGAGACAGAUGUGAUGGCUGUUUCAGAAGAUCAAGAGAGUGAGAAGCCCAAAACACUGAUCCACAAGCUCCAAAGCUCAACGGGGAGCUCCUCAUAUGUCUACAUGAAAAACCAGGGAAGGCUGGGCAAAUGGAGUUCAUCUAAAGACAUCCUGACCAUUGAUCCCUCUUACAUGACUAAUUGCCUAAAUCUGAUUGGUGUGAACAUGCUGCGUGCCAUUCAUCUGAAUUCAUCUGGUUCUGCCUUGAAAGCUCUGUCUGUGAUCCCAUCCCUCAACUACGGUGCAUGUGAAACAAAGAACAGCUGCUCCUCGUUGCACCAUGUUUUGGAUGUAUGCACCAUUCCAUGGCCUACAAAGUAGAUCCCCAGGACAAAAGCUCAGGAAGCCUCGGGUCCCACAGGAGCCGGGCUGACCAACGCCAUCGGCACUUGACGAGCUUGUCAGGCGCAUGCAGAGGGCCAGCUUCUUUUCUUAUCAUCAGGAAG